ACUCUGUCACACAGACGCACAUAUUCAUAUCCCCCCUCACUUUCGUUUCUCCAAAGUCUUUCUCUCUCUAAAUGUUUCCUCGCGUCCUCUCUCUAAAACCGUCUAGUCUGUGGUGAUGUUGAUCCUCUCUGCGUCUCCUUCUUCCUCCACUCUCUCUUCUUUUUCUUCUUCACACAUUUCUAGGCCUUUAAUUUCUUCCUCAUCUUCAUCUUCUGCUUCAUUUUCAACUUCUCUACCAGUAGUAGCAGUCAAAGCUGGUGCGAGGCUACUGUCAAUUCGGAAGUUACGGUGUGCGAUUUUCUGUGCUUCCAAGGUUCGUGGAAUGGCUGAAAUAGUUGAAGAGAAGAAGGAAUCGAAUUCAACUGCUGCUGCUGCCGCCGCCGCCGUCGCAGUUUCUACUUCUGAGAAUCAUGAGCUUCCACAGUUGCGUGCCUUCCUUGACGCUCGUACUGGAGAAGACUUGCUAUCUGCUAUUCGGAAAGCAGUGGAAGAUGAAAAACUGCCGCUUAAUGUUGCUGAAGGGAUGGAGGAGUUGUAUCAGAACUAUCGGAAUGCAGUUUUACAAAGUGGAGUACCCAAAGCAGAUGAGAUCGUUUUGUAUAACAUGGCUCUUGUGUUGGAUCGUAUUUUUGUGGAUGUGAAGGAUCCUUUUGAGUUCUCGCCACAUCAUAAGGCCAUUCGUGAACCUUUUGACUAUUACAAGUUUGGCCAAAAUUAUAUCCGCCCUUUACUUGAUUUCAGGAGUUCUUAUGUUGGCAAUAUAUCAGUUUUUGGUGAAAUAGAAGAAAAGCUCAAGCAGGGCGAUAAUGUUGUUUUGAUGUCAAACCAUCAAAGUGAAGCAGAUCCAGCGGUUAUUGCUCUGUUGCUUGAAUCGAAGCACCCAUACAUUGCUGAGAACAUAAUCUAUGUUGCAGGAGAUAGAGUUAUUACUGAUCCUCUUUGCAAGCCAUUCAGCAUGGGAAGGAAUCUCCUGUGUGUUUAUUCGAAAAAACAUAUGGGUGAUGACCCCAAACUUGUCGAGAAGAAAAAGAGAGCAAACACAAGAAGCUUGAAGGAGAUGGCUGUGCUAUUGAGGUACAUAUGCUGGGGUGGAUCAAAACUAAUAUGGAUUGCUCCUAGUGGUGGAAGAGAUAGGCCAAACCCUGUUACAAAAGAAUGGUAUCCAGCGCCAUUUGAUGCUUCCUCAACAGACAACAUGAGAAGGCUUGUAGAACAUGCUGGAGUCCCUGGUCACAUUUAUCCUCUAGCAAUAUUAUGCUAUGAUAUUAUGCCCCCUCCGCCCCAGGUUGAGAAAAAUAUUGGAGAGAAAAGAAUAAUAUCUUUUCAUGGAACUGGCAUAUCCGUGGGGACCAAAAUUGAUUUUCACGAGGUUGCUGGUGCUUUGGAAGACCCUGAAGAGGCUAAGAUGGUCUACACAAAGGCACUUUAUAACUCUGUAAACCAGCAGUACAACGUGCUAAAUUCUGCUAUACAUGGCAAACAAGGACAGGAGGCAUCAACUCCCAGCAUUUCGUUAUCACAACCAUGGCAGUAGCUUCUGUUCCGACUUUAUUUUCCAUACCUUGUUGCUUCAGUCAGUAUAGGUAAUCCAGGAUGCAGAUGGAAGCAUCCUGGUCACCCUUUUUUAUCAAUCAAGUGGAAGAGGAAUGGUAGCUACUACAAUGAGCCUCUGGAACCCCUAAUGAAAGGCCUUUUAGCAUGAUACGUAGUGGUACUGAAUAUGAUAGCAUGCAUGUAUUGCAAACGAUUGUCGUGCCUCAUUCUGUUGUCUCUCCUAUGUACAUAUUUGUUCAUAAUCUUUCUCCACCUAACCAUCUGCUUCCUUGGUUAGCCCCUCUACAUUCCUUUCUUUCACGCGGGUACUGACUGCAGUGUUCUUUUUGGUAACUGGCUUUCGGGUGUCUUGUUUCAACUGAAGAGAUUGUGUAGGUGAGGCUUAGGAAGAAUAUGUCUACCGGAACUGAUAUGUUAAAAAUAAUAGUAGCAAAUAUUGCACCAAUCUCAAUAGCGAAAGUAGUCACGGCAGCUUCCUUCCCCAUCUAAGUAUUUAUUUCUUUUAUGCAGGUUAUAGCUAAGUAUCAAGACAUAAUAAAUGAUAUAUAUGCUCAUUGGUCAUGACGACUGAAUGCAUCUCUUGGUUAGUACCGAUGGGGAGUGGUACUCCGAGACAAUCUCAGCUCUCAGGACUAACGAGGACAUGCAUACUUUUCUCGAAACCAACAACUGUGCUGCCAACCUCAAGAAACAAUCAAGUUCUGAAGCACUUCCAUACGUCAAAGGCAUGUGAAAGCUUUCUAGUUUAGAAACUCUUAAUUCGUUCAUCUUCUUUAUUUCAAAAAAAUUGUUUGCCCUGUGUUAUUAAAAGGAACCUGAUAGAUGUAUAAGUUUUUAGCAAAGAACUGAUGUACUUGAUGCAUAAGUUUUUAGCAAAGAACUGAUGUACUUGAUGCA